rnacentral:lncRNA from 1 species
AGUGAGGAGAACCGAGUUAUUAUUAUCAUGAAAAGAAUAUCAUUCAGAAAGCUUAGUGCAAUCUUCUGCAUAUGACUCGAAUCAUGUUUACUUCCAUUUGCAGGUUCAAUAGUUCCACCAUUUUGAAAUCCUUAUAGAGAAGAACUAAAUUUAAUCUGUAGUAAUUUUUCAUAUCCAUGCGACUAAAAUGAGACCAUGGUUAUUAGCAUUGGAAUACAGACAUAACAAGGUGAUCAUCAAAAUGUUGCACCUUGCCCUAGCCAGAAACUUCUUUCUACCUCCAACACCAGCAUCACAGAUAAAAGCAGAGGCAUUAACCAUUGUGAUGCAAGCACCCACACAAGAGUAAAUGAAAUUAGAGAAUUAUGGAGGUCCUGGUCUCAAGUGAACCUCAGACAAACUUGACUGUUGAGAUUAGUAAUAGGGCAAGGGUGCUUCAUUUGCACACUAGGCAAAGGACCAUGGUUCAGCAGUACCCUUUUUACUUGCCAUCCGUACCAUGUCCAAAAAAAAUGACACUGGGUCAGGGUACACUGGUCGCAAAUGUGCAUGCUUUGGAUCUGCUGUAUGAAUUUCAGUUAAAGUAAUAUUCCAGAUGUAUAGGAAUCAUGCUAUGCAGGUUGAAGAGGAUGGACCGACUUCACAUCAGACUCAUAUCUAGUACUUAUCACAAAAUUAUGUGCACUAACAAACCACAAAGAGUCUCAUACAAGAUAUUAUAUAUACAACAAAUAUAUUGCCACUGAAGCCUCAAUGAAUUCACCAAGACACUUAUUCAAGGCAUGUCUACUUCAUAAUUCAUUUUCAAUAGAAACUUGACAGCUAACAUAAACAAAUAUAUUGUAUAAUGGCGUGCAAAUCACUCAUUAGUUGAGAGUACCAAAUGUUAUCAAGGUUGAUUGAUGCAACAAGAAAAAUUGUUACGAACAAAAAUACUGCAAUAUUUCAAAACUCACUCCCCUAACUAAAUCAAUGUCAUCAAAACAAAAAAUAUAACUUAUGCACAGACUGUGUCAAACAAAUGGCCAACCAAGAAGCAUCAUUUUACAAAACAUCCAUACUUUGCCACAACUUAAUGUAAUGACCAGAAACAAAGAAACAAUGGAUGCACGAUAACAAUUUGACAGUUUUGCACACAUAAGAGAUAUUUCAUUCCUAUCUUAAUCUUAAGAAGACAAAUUUGGCCAGUGUUGCUAAUAAAGUGGGAGGCUUGAAGCAUUAGGUGUCGAAUCCCAUCUUAAGAAGAGAAUGCAAGACAUGUGAACAUGAACACGAACAUAUAUAUCUCCUAAUCAUUUAUCACAUCUAAGAAAUUUGGCCAGUGUUGCUAAUAAAGUGGGAGGCUUGAAGCAUUAGGUGUCGAAUCCCAUCUUAAGAAGAGAAAACAUCAACUACAAGACAUGUGAACAUGAACACGAACAUAUAUAUCUCCUAAUAUAAAAGUCCUAAAUCAUUUAUCACAUCCACAGUGGACAAGUGCCCGAAUUUAUGUAUAGGGAAUCCUAAGCAAACAAGCCAUCGAUUGUAUUGAGUUCAUGAGGAAAUGGUCCGAGACAGAUGAUUGCUCACGGG